rnacentral:rRNA from 1 species
AUUGAACGCUGGCGGCAUGCCUUACACAUGCAAGUCGAACGGCAGCGGACCUUCGGGUGCCGGCGAGCGGCGAACGGGUGAGUAAUGCAUCGGAACGUGCCAUUGAGUGGGGGAUAACGUAGCGAAAGUUGCGCUAAUACCGCAUAUUCUGUGAGCAGGAAAGCAGGGGACCGCAAGGCCUUGCGCUCUUUGAGCGGCCGAUGUCAGAUUAGCUAGUUGGUGAGGUAACGGCUUACCAAGGCGACGAUCUGUAGCGGGUCUGAGAGGAUGAUCCGCCACACUGGAACUGAGACACGGUCCAGACUCCUACGGGAGGCAGCAGUGGGGAAUUUUGGACAAUGGGGGCAACCCUGAUCCAGCCAUGCCGCGUGAGUGAAGAAGGCC